AGGAAAAGAAGCACCGACGGAGCGGUAGAAACCCUCUAUCAACAUUCCCCUCCCCUCGCCGUCCUGUGCCGCCGCCACCGCUCGCGCUUCCCCUCCCCUCGCCGUCCUCGACGCCUCUCUUCCGCGCCCGUCUGCAGCAGUAUGAACGGCUCCAUCACCUUCUCUGCCGCUCUCUCGCCCACAGCCCUCCGUGUCGGCCGAGGCGCGACGGGGUAUUCCGUUUAUCCGGCGCCGCACAGACAGAUUGAAGAACAGAAGACAGGACGACGACGUGAUGGCCGCCGAUUCGCGCGGCCCUCCUUCUUCUUACAUGCCCCUCUCCUUAUCGCUCCGGGGCAACGAAUGAUUUCUGAGAGGUGCGCCCUUUUCCUGUCCUCCCCUUCUCUCCACUUGAUUUGGUCGCCAGGCGCAAGAAGAUUGGCUCACUGAAUGUCUUCUGCAUGAGACCUGUUUGUGGAUAUGCUGGUGUACACUGCCGUUGAUUGUGGUGAUCGUCGGCUAUCGGUAUUGCAAGCGUGUGUUCAGAUGAGGUCCCUCUGCUUGCAUUGGUUAUCAAGAAGAGCAUCCAUGGGGCCAUGGUGGCUGCCACGAGCAGACAUGCUGGGGUAUCCAGUGAAAAAGAACAAUACAAUUAUACAAUUGAGUUGAUGGCAAUGUUGGGAGUGUUUGGAGCAGUUAUUAAUAUCAUACAGAUGUCUAACCGUGACUAUCAAUUGACUGCAACUUCAUUGGCAAAUAUGCCUCAGCUUCAUUGGGAAAUAUGUCACACUGCAUUAUUCUUGAGCGAGAAAAACUGCAUUCUAUUAAAUGGAAUGCUUGUGCUGCAAUUAGCAACUGCAAGUUCCUUGGCAAAUAGGCCUCAGUGUGACUUGUGGCGCGAUGAUUGCCUCGGCAAGUUGCCGGUAUGUGUUCGUCGGUACCAACUCGGCAAGCAGGCCAGCGCUGCAGUUCUUUCUCAGCGUGCCAUUCGUGUCUAGAUCUUAAACAUGUUGUAGGAACUGGUGGAAAAGAAUACUAGCAAUAUUGUGCGAUCAACAAGAUCAAGGUGGAGCAAGGAGGAACGGUCAGCAGAUUUUGCAUUUAUUUUGCUAAAGCUGCAUGUGAUUGCAAUUAAAAGUUAGUGUGCCUUUAAUCAGCGGGCUAUCAUGGAGGUCUCGUUGAGUCAUUGUUGGGCAUGGUAGGUAGCCUAUUUAGCAUUUGAAAAUAGGCAUCCCAAAAUUGGUUUCAUGUAUUAGCAGUUUGCGGCUAGAUCAUGACAGAUUUGAUCCUGCUGAUCAACACCACAUUGUCUAGAUGUUGGUCUUUCAUGGCAAGAUCAUUUGUGGAUUUUGAAAUGCUUUGUCCUUACCUGUAAGUAACUUGCAUCAGUCAUGUGUUCACUAAUAUAACUAUUCCCUUUGUUA